UCGUUUCCGUCGGCCCUGCCCACUGAUUUAUUUAAUGGCCGCGGUAUUUUGACCGUGCAAAGGUAGCAUAAUCAUUUGUCUCUUAAUUGGAGGCUGGAAUGAAUGGGUUGACUAGGAGAAAUCUUUAUUAAUUUAAUAUAUAGAAUUUAAUUUUUGAGUCAAAAAGCUUAAAUUUUUUUAUGGGACGAUAAGACCCUAUAGAACUUUACUUGUUAUUUGGUUAAAUUUUUUUAGAUUAUUAUUAAUUUUUAUUUAGUAACAAGUUUGGCUGGGGCGGCUUUGAUAAUAGUUUAACUGUCAAAUUUAUAUUUCACUGAUUAGUGAAUUUUUGAUCCAUUAUUAAUGAUUAUUAGAUUAAGUUACCUUAGGGAUAACAGCGUAAUUUAUUUGGAGAGUUCUUAUCGAUAAAUAAGAUUGCGA
rnacentral:rRNA from 1 species